rnacentral:rRNA from 1 species
AGCAGCCGCGGUAAUUCCAGCUCCAAUAGCGUAUAUUAAAGUUGUUGCAGUUAAAAAGCUCGUAGUUGGAUUUCGGGACCAAUACGUCGGUCGUGCUUUCGGGUACGUACUGUCGUUAUUGGUUUCUACCUUCUGACGAACCAUGAUGUCAUUAAUUUGGUGUUAUGGGGAGUUAGGACCGUUACUUUGAAAAAAUUAGAGUGUUUAAAGCAGGCAUUAGCUUGAAUACAUUAGCAUGGAAUAAUGAAAUAGGACGUUCGAUCCUAUUUUGUUGGUUUCUAGGAUCAACGUAAUGAUUAAUAGGGAUAGUUGGGGGCAUUAGUAUUCAAUUGUCAGAGGUGAAAUUCUUGGAUUUAUUGAAGACUAACUACUGCGAAAGCAUUUGCCAAGGAUGUUUUCAUUAAUCAAGAACGAAAGUUAGGGGAUCGAAGACGAUCAGAUACCGUCGUAGUCUUAACCAUAAACUAUGCCGACUAGGGAUCGGAUGAUGUUAAUUUUUUAAUGACUCAUUCGGCGCCUUACG